rnacentral:rRNA from 1 species
UUUUUGAACGGGAAGACCCUUCCCAGGUCUUGACAUCCAUUGCAAACAUAAGAGAUCAGGUGUUCCUUUGGGGGAGGGAGACACAGGUGGCGCAUGGCUGUUGUCAGCUCGUGUCGUGAGAUGUGGGGUUAAGUCCCGCAACGAGCGCACCCCUUGUCCUUAGUUCCCAUCAUUAAGUUGGGCACUCUAAUGAGACUGCCGGGGACAACCCGGAGGAAGGUGGGGAUGACGUCAAGUCAUCAUGCCCCUUAUGACCUGGGCUACACACGUGCUACAAUGGCCGGUACAAAGGGAAGCGAACCUGCGAAGGCAAGCAAAUCUCUAAAACCCCUUCGGAUUUCGGACUGUAGUCUGCAACUCGCCUGCACGAAGCUGGAAUCGCUAGUAAUCGCGAUCAGCA